AAAAUGCUUUAUGCCAAACGACUUUUUGCCAAAAGGCUUUAUGCCAAACGACUUUAUGCCAAAUGACCUACCACCGUCUCUUGUUCCUGAGAGAUUUCCCGGUUUAUUAAUUAGUUACAUGUGAUAGCUGUACGCAAAAAUCCAGAGAAAUUAUUGAAAACUUUAAAAUUCAUGUUUUUUGGAGAGCUUGAAUAUCAAAGUCAAAGCUCCAUUACGCGAAAUCGGUUCGUAACUUAACGUUAAUAAAAGCUGAACACACAGGGGUUGCUAACACUUCUUGGGAAGGCCUUGACAGAAAAUACAAUUCAGAAAACUUUUGCCAUAACAAUAAGAAACAUUUGGUUGCAGGUAAAGGCAGUAGUAGGCAAGUCGUUAAUGUUAAUGCUUGAUCAACGGAAAAUAUGAACGGUUGAAUGACUUUUAACUUUAAGCUGCUUUGCAUCAUUGAAAAAUAAUCAUGAAAUUCCUUCAUUCACUAUCCUCCAAAAGGGUGCGAAUUCAGGAAUUAAAAUUCAUAAUUCUGGUGCAGGUGAUUAAGCAUACGCCACUCCAAAUUUGUUAUAAAAAUUAAGUUUUUAAUGGAUUUCCAUGUUUUCCUGCCAAGCAUAGACUGAACAGCCUUCAAAACUCUUGUGGUCGUUUGAACAACAGUUUGCUUCUGUAUCAGCUAAGUUGAAAUUUAUCAGUUCAUUUUUCUGGUGGUUACCGCUUCGAAAAUUACACGCUUUUAAAUAUAUUUCACGCUGAAGCUACCAAAUACAAAACAAUCUGGGCACGCUAAAACUAAAUAACACAAUUUGGAGUUAGACAUUGAAUAAACACAAGUUUAGAACAAUUCUGCGAGACUUUGUUUCAGAGUGAUUGUUGUAAUAUAGAUUUGUCGAGGUGGAACGUUCAUACACAGAUUAUAGCACUCAUUUCAUUCUUUAGCAAGAGUCAUAUAAAAGCUAUUCCUGUGGAUGCAGCCAGUUGGUUUUUGUAUUAUCAAACGUCUUUGAAAUCAUGAAUCUCAACAUUUUUCUUAUCCUGGCAUUUGUAAUGUUGGCAUUGUUUGAAUGCCACGCUUCCGCAGUGAUGAAAGAAAAGCGUUCGCUGUUGCAUACAAUCAAACGAUCUGUUGACCAAGACUGUGAUGGACCAGGAAGGUGUGACAUCAUUAUAUAAAUAUUGAAGCAAAAAGAGA